rnacentral:lncRNA from 1 species
GCCAACGUGGGCCCAGGUCCAACGCAUGAAGUGUUAAACUGGACCGGGGCCAUCUUAUUCAAAUGUUACAUCCUAGUUACAGUAUCCUACAUACAUCCAGAAUUUAAAAGGAAUAAAUGUAAAGUGAGGAUAUCUAAUUAAGCAUGUUAUUGCAAGCUAAGACUGGCAACUUACUAAAUUAGGUAACUUAGAGUAUAUUGUAAUUCAAACAGCCUAAGGUCUUCCAUACGUUUGAAAUAUACUACUUAGUAAAAAAAACUGAAAUAAACAGAGUAUUUUUUACUAUACUAUCAACCCUUUUCUAGCUACCAGCAGACAUGGAAAGUUCACAAACUAAGCUACCAUUAAAAUGUUCAGUUAUACAUCACAGCCCCCUACAUGAUUCUAGUGAAGGAAGUAAACUAAUAUAUAUGCAUCUAAUAUUCGGUAGACAACUAAAAUGAAUUCAGGACUUCAAUCUUCAUUUUUGCAUUCAUGCUUCAUGUUAUCAGCAUAUAAUUGUCAGUGUAUCAGUUGUAUACCUGAUAUUGGAAGCAAAAGAAGAAGAGAUCAGCGGAGUAGCAGUAGCAAACAACCACAAGCAACACCCAGCAACAACAACAACAUUCAGUAAUGAAUAACAAACAGAAACCCAGUGACAGAUUAAAACCCAGCAGAAACCAGAACACUCAACGAAAUAGUAACCAAAAACCAACAGAAAAUUCAGGAAUACCAAUCUGAAACCCAGUGACCAAUAGAACAGUAACGGAUCACCCAGUAGCAGACUUCCAAACCAAGAAGAAACCCAAGAAUAUCAAACAAUCAACAGGAAAAUUAAGCAAAAGCAAUAGUGUAUUCAACAGUAAAAGAAGAGACCUCUCUUUUCUAAUUUUUAACUCCCAAAAUCACUGAACCUUUAGUGUAAAAAUUCAGCCUAGACUCUCUCAAUACACUGACUCUUUAAUGUUAAUAGCUAGCCUAUAUUAGCUUUUAAACUCUGAAUUAUUAAUAUAAAAUUCCAUCCAAACUCUCUCUCUAUAUCUCUGACGUUUGAAGAUUAAAUGUCAGCCCCUUAUUUCGUCAAGAAUGACCCUAUUUAUAACCAAAAGAGACAUGCUAAUGGCUGCCUUGAAAAACUCAUAUCUUAAUCUUUUCCCAUACCCUCUACUUCCCCACUCCUAAGUAUUUUGUUGAUGAAAACUAACUUGGUUCCCUAUGCUUAACAUGCUUGUCCAUAUUUGUUUUAAUCAAGAGUUAUGGGGGGAUUAUAGUAUUCUUAUUAGACCCAUGUUGUUAUGUUUUGUCCCUCACUGACACUUAAACUAGGGAUAUCUAAUGACCACUUGACGGACUUAAGCUUAGAACCUGCUAAAAUUCUAUUAAACUCCAAAAAUUACCCUUUAACCCCCUGUUAUUACAUGUACUACCCUAAGCCUUACUAGUCUGAAAUUGCAUCUAUAUAAACUCAAACUACCAAGUUGGUUUGUGGUAAAACACCUAAAAUACUACAGCUAUAGCCAAUUCACAACCUAAGUUCAAACAAUCAUACAUAAAAGGGGUGUCAAUCAGAUGGAGUGAGGUUGUCAUAUUGGGAACCAAUCCUGACCAACUCAAAACCAACUGAUCAAAUAGGUAAUUCCUACUACAGGCUAAGAUUGAAGCAAUACUGAUCAAGGCAUCUAAAUACAAGCUUUAACACCUAAUAGAGAAACAUGCUUGUAAUACACUGAAAUGAACAAAAUCAUGCUUCUCUAGUUUUUCAAGUGACUUUAAUUGAUGACAGUAUUUAUUCGACUAUACAAGUUAUAACAACCAGCCUAUAUUUUUUUUUUAUCUCUGAAAUAUUAAUCUAAAAUUCCAUCCAAACGCUCACUCUAUAUCUCUUAACUUAUGAAGAUUAAAAGCCAUCCCCUUAUUUGGUCAAGAAUGACCCUAUUUAUAACCAAGAAAAGCAUGCUAAUGGUUUCCUUGAAACACUCAGACCUUAAGCUCUGCCCAUUACGUCCACUUCACCACUCCUAAGUAUUUUCUUGAUGCAAACUAACUAUGUUCCCUAUGCUUAACAUGCUUGUCCCUAUUUGCUUUAAUCAAGAGUUAUGAGGGGAUUAUAGUAUUCUUAUUAGAGCCAUGUUGUUAUGUUUUGUCCCCCACUGAUAGUUAAACUAGGGAUAUCUAAUGACAACUUGACAUACUUAAGCUUAGAACACUUUAAAAUUCUAUUAAACUCCCAAAAUUACCCUUUGACCCCCUUUUAUUACAUGUAUUACCCUAAGACUUACUAGUUUGAAAUUGCAUCUAUAUAAACUCAAACUAACAAGUUGGUUUGUGGUUAAACACCUAAAAUACUACUGUUAUAGCCAAUUCACAACCUAAGUUUAAACAAUCAUACACAGAAGGGGUGUCAACCAGCUGGAGUGAGUUGGUCAUAUUGGAACCAAUCCUGACCAACUCAAAACCAACUGAUCAAACAGGAAAUUGUUACUACAGGCUAUGAUUGAAGCAAUACUGAUCAAGGCAUAUAAAUACAAGCUUUAACACAGAAAAGAGAAACGUUCUGGUAAUCACACUGAAAUGAACAAAAUCAUGCUUCUCUAGUUUUUCAAGUGACUUUAAUUGAUGAUAGUUAUUUAAUCGACUAUACAAGCUAUAACAACCAACCUAUAUUUGCUUUUGAACUCUAAAAUCUUAAUCUAAAAUUCCAUCCAAACUCUCACUCUAUAUCUCUAACUUAUGAAGAUUACAAGCAAACCCCUUAUUUGGUCAAGAAUGACCCUAUUUAUAAUCAAGAAAAGCAUGUUAAUGGUAGCAUUGAAACACUCAUACCUUAAGCUCUGCCCAUACCCUCUGCUUCCCCACUCCCAAGUAUUUUCUUGCAAACUAACUAUGUUCCCAUGCUUAACAUGCUUGUCCCUAUUUGUUUUAAUCAAGAGUUAAGGGGGAAUAUAGUAAUCUUCUUAGACCCAUGUUGUUAUGUUUUGUCCCCCAGUGACAGUUAAACUAGGGGUAUAUAAUGACAACUUGACAUACUUAAGCUUUGAACUUGUUAAAAUUCUAUUAAACUCCGAAAAUAACCCUUUAACCCCCUGUUAUUACAUGUAUUACCCUAAGCCUUACUAGUUUGAAAUUGCAUCUUUAUGAACUCAAACUAACAAGUUGGUUUGUUGUUAAACACCUUAAAUACUACAGCUAUAGCCAAUUCACAAUCUAUAUUCAAACAAUCAUAUACAGAAGGAGUGUCAAUCAGAUGGAGUGAGUUGGUCAUAUUGGGAACCAAUCUUGACCAACUCAUAACCAACUAAUCAAAUAGGUAGUUGCUACUAGAGGCUAAGAUUGAAGCAAUACUGAUCAAGGCAUCUCAAUAAAAGCUUUAACACAGAAAAGAGAAACAUAUUGGUAAUCACACUGAAAUAAACAAAAUCAUGCUUCUCUAGUUUUUCAAGUGACUUUAAUUGACGACACUUAUUAAAUUGACUAUUCAAGCUAUAAAAGAUAGCAAGAAAACAAUGAACGCACAAGCUAACAAGUUGAUUCACGGCUUUGCGACAAAACACGGAACCUAAUAUGAACUAACUACUUGACGAUAUUAAUCAAGUUGAACACAUAAUUCAUCACAACAGAUAUAAUUAAUAGCAAACAUAGAAAAUCAACCAAAUAAAUAGGUAAUUUGAAGAUUGACAAAAUUGAAAGAAAAAUUGAAAAAUCAAAUAAACUAAACUAAAACAUAUAAACAGACAUUAAUAUAACACAAAUAGAACAAAAUGGAAAGGAAACAUUACCUCAAAGACACUCAAAAAUGGAAAACUUUGACUGGAACUCGAACUUAUACACUUCGAUGUCGAAUAGACCUUAGUUGAAGUGUUCUCGACUGAGAACACUUCGACUAAGGUCGAUUACACUCCAAAUCCCCAUUAGUUUGGACAGAUUCGUGGUUUAGGUUUUCUAGGGUUCUUGUUUUUCGAUUUAGGGUUCAAAACUUUCUGGCAUGAUUUGAACAGAACCAAAGGUAUUUUGGGUAUGAGGGAGGUCAGGGGUACUGUGGUGUGAAUUUGGGCUGGAUUGGGAUAGGUUUCCAUUUGGCUUAAAUCUUCAAAUGAAGAUUCGAGAAGUCUGGGGAUAAUUCGAUCCAAACGGUUGGUGGAAUCGUGUUCAAUGUGGUUGAGUGGCUUUGGGGUGUUAAGAUGGUGACCGGCAGCGUUGAUGUCACCGGGCUUCAGGCAAUAAAGUAAGGUCGCGGCCAGGGUUAACCCUAGUUCAUCUGUGAACUUUGAGAGACGAUUAACAGGAGACGAGACGGGGGGGGGGGUUGGUUUGAGGGGCUAGGGUAGGAGAUUGAUUUUAUAGAGUGGACGGA